UAACAAGAACAAAAUAUAAUAAAUGUCAUCAAACAAACAGUCUAAUCCUCCUUGCUCUCUUUAGUUUGUGGAGGAAUGGGUCUUUCUAGGAAACGGUUGACCAAGAGACUAACAAAGAACAUAAUGUGUAAAAGAAGCUUCAAUUUCUCCAAUCUCUGUGCAAGACAGCAAUCGAUAGGGUAAUACAUGUUGUAAAAAUCCUUUACCAAGAAUAAAAACGACAUGAGAACAAAAAAAAUGCUCAUGUGCAUGCUCCAAUCGGCCCAUCUGGUCCUAGCCAUUGAACCUAAAAUGACAGACAUUGUAGUAAAAUUAGAUAUGAUAUUUACACUCAACAACAAGGACCAAAUAAAAACAAAGUUAAAGCGAUAUCAAACCAUUCUGGUGUGAUGGUGGACGAACAAUCAUCGUUAAUUUCCUGAUGCCACAAAAUCUGUCAGUAAUGGAUAUUAAUCCC
rnacentral:lncRNA from 1 species